rnacentral:rRNA from 1 species
UGGCGGCAGGCCUAACACAUGCAAGUCGAGCGGUAACAGAAAGUAGCUUGCUACUUUGCUGACGAGCGGCGGACGGGUGAGUAAUGCCUAGGGAUCUGCCCAGUCGAGGGGGAUAACAGUUGGAAACGACUGCUAAUACCGCAUACGCCCUACGGGGGAAAGGAGGGGACCUUCGGGCCUUUCGCGAUUGGAUGAACCUAGGUGGGAUUAGCUAGUUGGUAAGGUAAUGGCUUACCAAGGCGCCGAUCCCUAGCUGUUCUGAGAGGAUGAUCAGCCACACUGGGACUGAGACACGGCCCAGACUCCUACGGGAGGCAGCAGGGGAAUAUUGCACAAUGGGGGAAACCCUGAUGCAGCCAUGCCGCGUGUGUGAAGAAGGCCUUCGGGUUGUUUAGCACUUUCAGUAGGGAGGAAAGGUAGCAGCUUAAUACGUUGUUACUGUGACGUUACCUACAGAAGAAGGACCGGCUAACUUCGUGCCAGCAGCCGCGGUAAUAC